GCAUGCGCCUGUGUCCUAGCUACUGAAGAGGCUGACAUGGAAGGAUCAUCUGAGUGCAGGAGGUCGAGCGAUCCUCCUAUAUUAUUGACUUAAAAAUUCUUGUCCCCUAUUACAAGAGCAGGAAUUGUUGUCUGUUUUGUUUACGGCUGUAUUGCCAGAACCCAGAACCGUGCCUGGCACGGAGUAAAUGAUUUGCUGAAUGAGUAAGCAAGCCAGGGGUUCCGGGCCUCUGUACUCUGCAAGUCCAUCCUGCAUUCUCCAUUCAUACCAUAGCAACUUCAAAGGCCCCUCACCCAUUCCUGACUCCACAUUGUCGCCAAGUCACUUCCAGAAACUUAAAAUGCCAUUUCCCAUUCACAUGGUCAAGCCCUUCCCCUCCUGCCAGUCGUUUGUUUAAAUCUGGCUUGCAGUCCCAUCAAGCUGCUCUUCCUAAUGCCACUCAGAUCCCAUCACCUCCAUCACUGCUACUGUAACUUUGGAUUGGGCCACCAUCACCCCUACCUGGGAUUUACUCGACACCUCAUUAAUCUCUUUCCAACCCACACUCACUAGCUCUGAAAGAGUGAACUUUCUAAAACUGCAAGUCAGAUCACCUAAGCCCCCUGUUGAGUGGUUCCCUGACACCUAUGGGGUCAAAUGCAAACUCCUUCCCACGCUACCCAUGGCCUUCCUUGUCCUGAUGAACAACUAACAAUCGUCCGCCCCCACAGAGAAGCACAGGGCCCAGCCAUACCCACCUCUCCGCUCUGCCCUGGUGCUCUUCUGUCCACCUGGAGAGCCACAGCCUGAUCUCAGGACCCAGCUCCAGCAGGAGCCCCCUCUAAAGCGCUCCCCACUCCCGAACAUACUCCACAACAUUUUUAACUGUGAGCUCACGGAGGUUGGGAACUAUUAACGCAGGUCAGACGCGCCCCAAAGUGGGGCCGAGCCCAAGAGGGUUCUUGGCUUUGCCCAGGAAAUAAUUCAAGGGUGAGCCGGUGGCAGGAAAGAAAACACCUUUAUUGAAGAGGCAGGCAGUGUUAUACGGCUCCAUGACUGCUCCUGCAGAGCUGGGCUUUCCCAAAGGCGGAAAGUAGCAGCUCAGGGCAGUUUUGCAAUCAUACUUAUACCUACUUUUUUUUUUUUUUUUUUUUUUUUUUGAGACGCAGUCUCGCCUAGGCUGUCGCCCAGGCUGGAGUGCAGUGGACAUGAUCACAGCUCAC
rnacentral:lncRNA from 10 species